rnacentral:misc_RNA from 1 species
UCUCUUCUUGAUCACUGCUAAUUUCUU